GUGUGGACGUGGUGGCCCCAUGUCCUUCAGUCUGUGGGGAUCCCUCCCCAGCCCCACACGUGAACUUUGGGGUCUGUAUUUGGAGCUGUGGUUGUGGAGGUGACAUCAUGGCUUUUUUUCCAUGGCAACAGGAGGAUGCUGAACACUGGAGCUGAACACAAGGAGAUUUUCAAUGGCAACAGAGCAGGCAGCCAAAGGUCAGUGUUCCUUGCCCACACACAAACCUGCUGCAGGGAGGAGGAAGAGGAAGAAGAAGAGGAGGAAAAGGAGGAGGAGAAAGAUGAGGAGGAGGAGGCAAUCCCUGCCCAACCCUAUGUUAUCAUUUUUUAAUCAUCAGUCUCCCAACAGAGUGAUUAUUUGUUUCUUCAAAGCAUUCCAGGCUGAGGAAAAUGGCAUUUACAUCCAGAACACACAUGGAGAUCAUGAGAAGUGCUUGUUGCUGUCCAUCCAGCAGGAGAUUUAGUUUAGUAUUAGCUUUUUUCUGGUUUUUUUUUGUAAGUUUUGAGCCCAUGUGAAUCUCCCAGCACAAGAGCACCACACGAGCACACUUGAGUGAGCUGGGUAAUGAGCCUGGAAAACCUAUCCUGUGCUUGGCCAGUCCCAGAGUCCACCCAGGCAUGAACCAGGACUGGGAAUAUUCCUCUGUGGUGGUUGGAGGUGCUGCUGUUGCCUGGCCCCAGGUGGGUAAAGCCACAAGCAUUGAGAUGGCACUUAGGUGACCUCAAAUGUUACUUUUAGCUUGUCCCCUCCCCGGUUUUGCCUCAUUUAUACCCAUCCCAUUCCCCACUGCUGCUCCCUGGGAGGGGCUGGCCCUCAUCCAUGGUGGGGUGUCCUGGGCAGAGCCAGCCUGGAGAGGAUGAGGAGGAACAAACACCUGUGAGCUGUUCUGCAGCACUUUUGGUCACUGCGGUGAUGCAGCUUCAGCAUCAGCACUAAAUAUUAAUUCCCCCCAAACAACUCCAUGUGUGUCUUCCUGAGGUCUCACACUUGCCUCAUCCACCAUAUCAGAUGUUGCUUUAUCUUCUAAACAAAUACCCUGCUGCUACCACAUUUGCUGGUUUGAAUCCCAGGAUUUCUCCUGGCAUAUGUUAUUUUCUUCCCAGAAGCCACAAGCUGUGGUAAACAAACAUUUACAGGCACAGGGAACACGGGACCUGUGUUUUGCCAUGGCUGACUUAUUUGUCUGGCAAGAACCAUAAAUUCUGGAGGGUCAAGGCUGAAGUCAGCCCUGGGAGCUGGGCUUAGGAAAAAAUUCUUGAUCAGGCAUUUGUUUGUGGAG
rnacentral:lncRNA from 1 species